rnacentral:rRNA from 1 species
CCUACGGGAUGCAGCAGUGAGGAAUAUUGGUCAAUGGGCUUACGCCUGAACCAGCCAAGUCGCGUGAGGGAAGACUGCCCUACGGGUUGUAAACCUCUUUUGUCAGGGAGCAACGCCGGCUACGUGUAGCCGGACUGAGAGUACCUGAAGAAACAGCAUCGGCUAACUCCGUGCCAGCAGCCGCGGUAAUACGGAGGAUGCGAGCUUUAUCCGGAUUUAUGGGGUUUAAAGGGUGCGUAGGCGGAAUGACAAGUCAGCGGUAAAAUCGCGGGGCUCAACCUCGCUCCGCCGUUGAAACUGGCGUUCUUGAGUGGGCGAGAAGUAUGCGGAAUGCGUGGUGUAGCGGUGAAAUGCAUAGAUAUCACGCAGAACUCCGAUUGCGAAGGCAGCAUACCGGCGCCCAACUGACGCUGAAGCACGAAAGCGUGGGUAUCGAACAGGAUUAGAUACCCCGGUAGUC